rnacentral:tRNA from 1 species
GCCUGGGUGGCUCAGUCGGUUAAGUGCCUGACUCUUGGUUUCAGCUCAGGUCAUGAUCUCAGGGUCAUGAUCUCAGGGUCGUGAUCUCAGGGUGGUGGGAUCGAACCCCCCGCCUCAGGCU